rnacentral:rRNA from 1 species
CCCUUAGAUGUUCUGGGCCGCACGCGUGCUACACUGAGUAAUUAAAUGGGUAAGGGAACGCUAGAGCAUUACCUAAUCUUGAAAUUUGCUCGUGAUGGGGAUCGACGGUUGCAAUUUUCCGUCGUGAACGAGGAAUACCUUGUAGGCGCAUGUCAUCAUCAUGCGCCGAAUACGUCCCUGCCCUUUGUACACACCGCCCGUCGCUCCUACCGAUUGAGUGAUCCGGUGAGGCUCUGGGACCUGGACGGAAAGAGCGUUUCGCUUGUUCUGUUUGGGAAACUUGGUCGAACCUUAUCAUUUAGAGGAAGGAGAAGUCGUAACA